rnacentral:rRNA from 1 species
CCUUCGGGGUACUCGAGCGGCGAACGGGUGAGUAACACGUGAGCAACCUGCCCCUGACUCUGGGAUAAGCCCGGGAAACUGGGUCUAAUACCGGAUACGACGCGCCCCGGCAUCGGGUGUGUGUGGAAAGUUUUUCGGUUGGGGAUGGGCUCGCGGCCUAUCAGCUUGUUGGUGGGGUAGUGGCCUACCAAGGCGACGACGGGUAGCCGGCCUGAGAGGGCGACCGGCCACACUGGGACUGAGACACGGCCCAGACUCCUACGGGAGGCAGCAGUGGGGAAUAUUGCGCAAUGGGCGGAAGCCUGACGCAGCGACGCCGCGUGGGGGAUGACGGCCUUCGGGUUGUAAACCUCUUUCAGCAGGGACGAAGUUGACGUGUACCUGCAGAAGAAGCGCCGGCUAACUACGUGCCAGCAGCCGCGGUAAUACGUAGGGCGCAAGCGUUGUCCGGAAUUAUUGGGCGUAAAGAGCUCGUAGGUGGCUGGUCGCGUCUGCCGUGAAAGCCCGCAGCUUAACUGCGGGUCUGCGGUGGAUACGGGCCGGCUAGAGGUAGGCA